rnacentral:tRNA from 1 species
GCGCGGUUAGCUCAGGAGUAGAGCACCUCGUUGACGUCGAGGGGGCCGGGGGUGCAAAGCCCUCACCGCGCA